UAGGCGGACGGGGGAGUAAUGUCUGGGAAACUGCCCGAUGGAGGGGGAUAACUACUGGAAACGGUAGCUAAUACCGCAUAACGUCGCAAGACCAAAGAGGGGGACCUUCGGGCCUCUUGCCAUCGGAUGUGCCCAGAUGGGAUUAGCUAGUAGGUGGGGUAACGGCUCACCUAGGCGACGAUCCCUAGCUGGUCUGAGAGGAUGACCAGCCACACUGGAACUGAGACACGGUCCAG
rnacentral:rRNA from 1 species